rnacentral:ncRNA from 1 species
GGAGCGUAAACGCGGUACGGUCUCGGACGACAACCUAAAAAAAGACGACGGUAUGACGGAAGCACCGGUGAAAAUCCGGCACGGUCGCGCCACUGUGAAUCCUCCCGGAGGGGGAGGAGAAGUCAGACCCGCCAUGUCGUCGCUAGCACC